rnacentral:rRNA from 1 species
AGUGAACGCUGGCGGUAGGCCUAACACAUGCAAGUCGAACGGCAGCACAGUAAGAGCUUGCUCUUACGGGUGGCGAGUGGCGGACGGGUGAGGAAUACAUCGGAAUCUACUUUUUCGUGGGGGAUAACGUAGGGAAACUUACGCUAAUACCGCAUACGACCUACGGGUGAAAGCAGGGGAUCUUCGGACCUUGCGCGAUUGAAUGAGCCGAUGUCGGAUUAGCUAGUUGGCUGGGUAAAGGCCCACCAAGGCGACGAUCCGUAGCUGGUCUGAGAGGAUGAUCAGCCACACUGGAACUGAGACACGGUCCAGACUCCUACGGGAGGCAGCAGUGGGGAAUAUUGGACAAUGGGCGCAAGCCUGAUCCAGCCAUACCGCGUGGGUGAAGAAGGCCUUCGGGGUGUGAAGCCCUUUUGUUGGGAAAGAAAAGCAGCAGGUUAAUACCCCGCUGUUCUGACGGUACCCAAAGAAUAAGCACCGGCUAACUUCGUG